rnacentral:rRNA from 1 species
CCUAGAGUGACGUACGGGUGCGUAACACGUAUGCAACCUACCCAAAACUGGAGGAUAGCUCGGGGAAACUCGAAUUAACCCUCCAUAAGAUCAUAGAGUAGCAUUACUUUAGUGAUUAAAACUACGGUGGUUGAGGAUGAGCAUGCGCAUGAUUAGUUAGUUGGCGGGGUAACGGCCCACCAAGACGAUGAUCAUUAGGGGAACUGAGAGGUUGAUCCCCCACACUGGCACUGAGAUACGGGCCAGACUCCUACGGGAGGCAGCAGUAGGGAAUAUUGGACAAUGGGUGCGAGCCUGAUCCAGCCAUGCCGCGUGCAGGAAGACGGCCUUCUGGGUUGUAUACUGCUUUUGCCAGGGGAUAAAAAGUCCCUGCGGGGAAAAUUGAAGGUACCUGGUGAAUAAGCCACGGCUAACUACGUGCCAGCAGCCCCGGUAAUACGUAGGUGGCAAGCGUUGUCCGGAUUUAUUGGGUUUAAAGGGUGCGUAGGCGGCCCUGUAAGUCAGUGGUGAAAUAUGUCAGCUUAACUGAGAGGGUGCCAUUGAUACUGCAGAGCUUGAGUACAGAUGAGGUAGGCGGAAUUGACGGUGUAGCGGUGAAAUGCUUAGAUAUCGUCAAGAACACCUAUAGCGAAGGCAGCUUACUAGGCUGUAACUGACGCUGAGGCACGAAAGUGUGGGGAUCAAACAGGAUUAGAUACCCUGGUAGUCCACAC